AUUGAACGCUGGCGGCAGGCCUAACACAUGCAAGUCGAGCGGAUGAAGGGAGCUUGCUCCUGGAUUCAGCGGCGGACGGGUGAGUAAUGCCUAGGAAUCUGCCUGGCAGUGGGGGAUAACGUCCGGAAACGGGCGCUAAUACCGCAUACGUCCUGAGGGAGAAAGUGGGGGAUCUUCGGACCUCACGCUAUCAGAUGAGCCUAGGUCGGAUUAGCUAGUUGGUGGGGUAAAGGCCUACCAAGGCGACGAUCCGUAACUGGUCUGAGAGGAUGAUCAGUCACAAUGGAACUGAGACACGGUCCAGACUCCUACGGGAGGCAGCAGUGGGGAAUAUUGGACAAUGGGCGAAAGCCUGAUCCAGCCAUGCCGCGUGGGUGAAGAAGGUCUUCGGAUUGUAAAGCACUUUAAGUUGGGAGGAAGGGCAGUAAGUUAAUACCUUGCUGUUUGGACGUGACCAACAGAAUAAGCACCGGCGAACUUCGU
rnacentral:rRNA from 1 species